UCGAGAAUUUUUCACAAUGGGCGAAAGCCUGAUGGAGCGACGCCGCGUGGGGGAUGAAUGGCUUCGGCCCGUAAACCCCUGUCAUUCGCGAGCAAUGCCUUCCCGAUAAUACCGGGACGGUUGAUCGUAGCGAAAGAGGAAGGGACGGCUAACUCUGUGCCAGCAGCCGCGGUAAUACAGAGGUCCCAAGCGUUGUUCGGAUUUACUGGGCGUAAAGGGUGCGUAGGUGGUGAGGUAAGUUCGAUGUGAAAUCUCCGGGCUCAACCCGGAAAAGGCCUUGAAUACUAGCUUGCUCGAGGUUUGGAGGGGGAAGUGGAAGUCUCGGUGUAGCAGUGAAAUGCGUAGAUAUCGAGAGGAACACCGGUGGCGAAGGCGAGUCCCUGGACAACACCUGACACUGAGGCACGAAAGCUAGGGGAGCAAACAG
rnacentral:rRNA from 1 species